UCUCCUGGAAAACGGGUGGUAAUGCCGGAUGCUCCAGUUGAUCGCAUGGUGUUCUGGGAAAGCCUUUGCGGCAUGGGAUGGGGUCGCGUCCUAUCAGCUUGAUGGCGGGGUAACGGCCCACCAUGGCUUCGACGGGUAGCCGGCCUGAGAGGGCGACCGGCCACAUUGGGACUGAGAUACGGCCCAGACUCCUACGGGAGGCAGCAGUGGGGAAUAUUGCACAAUGGGCGCAAGCCUGAUGCAGCGACGCCGCGUGAGGGAUGGAGGCCUUCGGGUUGUAAACCUCUUUUGUUAGGGAGCAAGGCAUUUUGUGUUGAGUGUACCUUUCGAAUAAGCACCGGCUAACUACGUGCCAGCAGCCGCGGUAAUACGUAGGGUGCAAGCGUUAUCCGGAAUUAUUGGGCGUAAAGGGCUCGUAGGCGGUUCGUCGCGUCCGGUGUGAAAGUCCAUCGCUUAACGGUGGAUCCGCGCCGGGUACGGGCGGGCUUGAGUGCGGUAGGGGAGACUGGAAUUCCCGGUGUAACGGUGGAAUGUGUAGAUAUCGGAAAGAACACCA
rnacentral:rRNA from 1 species